CGAAAAUAUAUCACUGAAGAAAAUUAAAUAUAUCACUGAAAUACAAGGAUAAAUCAGCAAAUAUAAACCAAAAAUGCCGAAAACACCAAUAUGGAAAAAGUGCAUUGUGGGCUUCAGCGAGGGAAACACAGUAUUUAGAUUUCCUAACGAGGAAACGGAUCUCGAACGGUGAUAUAAGCCUAAAGCGUAAUCGAGCACCCAAAAUUAACUUCGGUAACGCGCCGUUUUGCA